UGGGCUGUUCAUGUCCAAAUGAA
rnacentral:snRNA from 1 species